GAUGAAGAACGCAGUGAAAUGCGAUAAGUAAUGUGAAUUGCAGAAUUCAGUGAAUCAUCGAAUCUUUGAACGCACCUUGCGCUCCUUGGUAUUCCGAGGAGCAUGCCUGUUUGAGUGUCAUGAAAUUCUCAACCUUUCUGGCUUUUGCUAGUCAGGCUUGGAUUAUGGGAGCUGCUGGCUUUUGAAGUCGGCUCUUCUAAAAUGUAUUAGCAAGAUCAUUGCUGCUCAUCAUUGGUAUGAUAAUUAUCUAUAUCAUUGAGAGUCAGUUUCCUUUAUUGGAAGAUUUUGCUCCUAACGGUCUUUAGCAAGACAACAUUUGACGAUUUUGACCUCAAAUCAGGUAGGACUACCCGCUGAACUUAAGCAUAUCAAUAAGCGGAGGA
rnacentral:misc_RNA from 1 species